UCUUGAGCUCCUGACCUCAAGUGAUCUGCCUGCCUCUGCCUCCCAAUGUGCUGGGAUUACAUGGGUGAGCUGCCACGCCUGGCCAACUUCUGUGUAUUUAUUGAGGGAGGUGAUUUGGGUGGGGAUGGUGGAAGGAUUGGGUCAUGUGAAAGAGAAGGAGUCCUGGUUUGUAAGUUAGAUCAUGUGAGGGAUAGGGAUAGGGAGUGGAGCACAGGGUGAAUGAGACCACACACAUGUAAGAGGGAAUGAUGAGCAGGCAGGAAGAGAGGGUUGGUGUAGGCAAGGGUUGGUGUAGGAAAGGGGUGGUGUGUUGUAGGAAAGGGGUGGUGUAGGAAAGGGUUGAUGUAGGAAAGAUUUGGUGUACGAAGGGGUUGGUGUAGGAAAGGGGUGGUGUAGGAAAGGGUUGGUGUAGGAAAGGUUUGGUGUAGGGUGCUGACAUUUGCAUAAGUUGCACUGGGGUAGGAGUGGAUGAUGAUGGAAAGUUGGAAGAAUGUGAUAUUUGGGUGGAAAUAACAACUUAGAAAUUGAGUCAUCUUUUAGCUACAGAGAAGGGUAUUCCCUUCACCAUAUAGUGAGCGGGUGCUGUAUCCAUGGCUCUUGACAAAGUUGUUUACUUUGUGCCUUUUCCUGCAUUAUUGGCAUCUGGAGUUCUAACAGCCAAGAGAGACAGAGGUCAUAGUGGAAUCAAUAUUUCUAUUACAGAUAAGAAAAUCCCAGAAGGAGGGCCUACAUAGAUUAACCUGUACACAACCAAACUAAGAUUUAAGAAUUUUUCUGAAGAUAAUCCUGGGAUUAUGUCUCACAUUUCAUUUUAAGCUUCUUUCUUCAUUUCCCUUUGCUUAAUAUUUCUCUCCCCUAUUUUAUUCCUCCUUGAAAUAAAAUGGGACAAUAAUGUGUUUUAAAUGUAGAAUCAAGGAAUAACAAGAAAUCGUCAUUUCAACUGCUAUCAUGUCCAGUGAAAUUAAAUGCUUGGAUAAUUACUUUGUUAAUUACUAACAACUCCAAAAUUCUGAUUCUCAAUCCACAGUCUAUUGAAUCAUAUAAAUGGCUUGCUUUUAUUGAAUGGAAAAAGACAAAGAAGAAAAAGAGUGUCCAGUAGAGAGGAGGAGAAAGCACUACAGGGAACACCAGGGUCCCCAUGAUAAGUUCACUUUAUUCCACUCCAUACUUCCUGUUAAUUAGGAGCUUCCAAUCAUUGCAGCAACAUGGGGUCCUACACUUUAACCCAACCCCUCCUCUUCUACUAUCCCUAACUUUGACUAGUAUGAGAUGAAUACUUGAGUUCAGCAACUUCCCAUGGCUUUCGAAUCUCAGGAGUUGUUCUUACUCUUUUUGAUAUAACAACCCUCAAUUAAUGUUUGGUAUUCUUACGCAACCAGUGGGAAAACAAGUAUGCAUCUGGAAAGCUUAGAAAAUAUAGAGAUAGUCAUAUACCUAGGCUUGUUUUUAUUUUAAUUGAGCAAUUUGCAAAGGUAUCUUCUAUAUUAAUAAAUGUACAUUCAAUUCAAACAGAUUGAUAUUGAAUUAAUAGGAAGUAAUAAAUUGGUUUAUUUAUGCUAGUGGAAUUAAAAAAUCUUGCUACUCUAUACAUUCAAUUUCUAGUCCCUGCUUUGAAAAGAGCAUUUUCUUCCUUUUGAAAUAUAUUUGAGCAUAGUAACUUUCAAGGUCCUAAGUUUAUUGGCAUAAUUUAAUGGAAAAAUUUAUGCUCUAAAGCAUUCAUUUUUUUCCCCAAGCUUUGUGGUUUUCAAUUUCUCAUCUACUGGGUGGCUUUUAGUUUACAUGGCAGAACAGAAUCUUCUCAACUUUUUGAUUCCCCUGAUAAAAUAUUCAAUAGAGAACUAAGCCAAAGUUUGCUUCACCCAAGGACAUGAUCUCAUCCUUAUUCUUGUCUUCAUGCCUAUUGAAAUACAGCUAUUCUUGUAUGUAUUUAGCUAAGUGAUAGGCUUAAGCAUCAGUUGUCUUUUUUGGCUAAUUUGUUUCAAAAGUAAUUGAGCCCAUGUACACAUGAAAUAAUAUGUAAAACAGUAAAGAUCCCUGUACACAACAGUAUUGAAGCCACUGUAAUAUCUCAAGACUAAAUUAGACACUCUCUUCCUAGGCCCCUUUCACUCCUCCACCCUCCACCACAUAGGACACUUUCUGGAAAAGAAGUCCAGGCAAAGAGACGUUAGUUUAAUUGUUGCUAACGUCACAUAGAAAUGAUCACCAUCUUGGAAUUUCUGAAUUCACAUGAAAGGGUGAUACUGAGUUUAAACGUAAAGUUUCAUAUUCCAUUGGUGUCAAAAUUGGUGGACAGAAAGAGUACAGGAUUGUAAAGCAAUUUCAGAGCAAGCUUCUAAUGGCAACUUUAGUCCAUAGUUUGGAUCCUGUGCCCACCUGACAUCUAUUCUUUUUUUGAGAUGGAGUCUUGCUCUCUCUCCCAGUCUUGAGUGCAGUGGCGAGAUCUGGGCUCACUGCAAGCUCCGCCUCCCGGGUUCACGCCAUUCUCCUGCCUCAGCCUCCCGAGUAGCUGGGACUACAGGCGCCCACCACCAAGCCAGCUAAUUUUUUAUAUUUUUAGUAGAGACGGGGUUUCACGGUGUUAGCCAGGAUGGUCUCGAUCUCAUGACCUCGUGAUCCACCUGCCUCGGCCUCUGAAAUCUAUUCUUAGCUGUAGGUGGGGACCAGGACCAGAAUCUUCAGAGCAGGCCCUAGAAAGCUGGGAAGUCAGGGGAUUCCACUACAGGUUUCUCUAUUCUGUCGGCAUUUUAAGUGGUUCUGUUUAGAUCUAGUCACAUUAGAGCUACCCCUCAAACAGACGACGACUCUUAAGAGCCCUGGAAUUUCUUUAUUACCCAGGGAGUCACUGGGGACUGGCAGUAGGUGCCAGGUUUGGUGAUGGCGUUUUGUGAAUCGCUGAGCUCAUCUCAGGGCAGAGCAGCUUCCUAAUGUGACUGUCGUCUCCUCUUCCUUUCCCUCCAACACCAGCCACACUUCACUGCACUGGCCAGGUGUUUACCAACCUACCCCUUCGUACAAAGUUCAACCUGACAUUGUUUCGUAGUCAAUGAUAUAAAGCUUGUUGUCUAAGUCAGCAUCUGCAGUUUUACCGACUGAUAGAAAGGUACAAGAUAGAAUAUGAUUCGGGACAGGAGUCAUCAACGUGUUGCCUUUCUGUUGCAUGGAAUGAUACGUUUUGAAGUUGCAAGUGUCCUGAAAUUUCAGGACUUCAUCUUAAAGAUGAAAAAAAGAUGACGUGUCAUGCACAGCUAUUUAGUGGCAGAAUUUGAAUUCAACCCCAAGUCAGGUUAUGAUAUCUCCUGUGUCAGAGGAAAGUACUUUUGAUAAUCCCAGAAAUAUCAAGACUCCAGUGGCAGUGAAUAUUUGGUUUCCACUUUGAAAUGUAGAUCACAUUAGCAGGAUAUUCCCUAAAGGAGCUUUAUACACAGUUGGUCCUCUCUCUGUCAACCUCAUCUCCGACUCAAGUGGAUCGAGUUCAAAACAGCCACACUUGUUCCAGAAGCCAAUUUUGUUUGGGCCAUAAUAUAGAGAUGGUCCCAUACAGCCUUAAAGCAUGCUAAGCAUAGGUAGCUGUGUUUGUUACAAUAGUUGAAAGGAGAAAGCCAUAAAAACAAAGUCUCCCACUAUUUCAUCCAAUUUAAAAUUGCGGAAGGUGACAGAAAAUAUAACUGAAAGCUUUCCCUAACCUCUCUUAAAAGAAGUCCUAGAAAAAAAAAAAGAAAGCAUUUCUUUCCUUGAUGAUUUCUAAGUAAUAACUAAAUAUGGAUGCAAUUUUGAACCGUGUAUGGAUGUUCCCAGUGUAAUGUUCCUCUUUUGGAGACAUCGCAUCAUAUUUAUUUAUCUCACUCCCUGUCCUUUACCCCAUUAAAGUGGACCUGUGCAUAGUUGAUGCUUGUACCAAGAUACACACCUUCUUCCUGUUUCCAGGACGGUACGAUGGGAGGCAGGAGUGAGUGUCCGGAAAGAGGGAAGAAAAAAAACCAAAUCUCAUCGUUGCUUAUUUGUCUACUGCUUUUGGCUCUGCUGAGAUGUGAAGUCAUUCUCAUUUCUUUGUGUUCGGAAGUAUAGCCUGCGACUUGUUGAAAGCUUAGCGCUAGACCUGCCUCUCAGAGACUUGCUCCCUCUGGAAAUGCCCAGCUGAGGAUGCGCGUGGUGCGUGUUGAAGAACACUGCCUUAGAGGUGGACACUUGUGGACAGGUGCGCUGCGGCCGGACUCGGGGACA
rnacentral:lncRNA from 10 species